UACGUAGGGCGCAAGCGUUGUCCGGAAUUAUUGGGCGUAAAGAGCUCGUAGGCGGUCUGUUACGUCCGCUGUGAAAACCCAGGGCUUAACCCUGGGCUUGCAGUGGAUACGGGUAGACUAGAGGCAGGUAGGGGAGAAUGGAAUUCCCGGUGUGGCGGUGAAAUGCGUAGAGAUCGGAAAGAACACCAACGGCGAAAGCACUCUGCUGGGCCGACACUGACACUGAGAGACGAAAGCUAGGGGAGCGAAUGGG
rnacentral:rRNA from 1 species